UGUUGUUAUUGUAGUAGCCAUGGAGGUGUAUAUUCACCUCCAUGGUAGUAGCCUUUUAUUGUUGCUUUGUAACAAUUGAUAACAAUAAAAAUUUUCUCUCAUCAUCGAAUAACCUUUCAGGCAAUAAAAAAAAUCAAAAAUGGGCUUGAAGACUUUAAUCUUUUCAUUUUUGCUAGCUGUUGUAGUUUUAGUCAACAUCACUGAAGGAAAAGGAUUACCAGUAGACAAUAUUACUAGGAUGAUGCCUCACUUAUUUUUCAAUACCAUGAAUUCUUCAUUAAAUUACAUAACAAAUAUAGCACCUAUAACUGAAAGUGACAAAAAAGAAUUGCUUUAUAUUAUUGAUCAAAGUGUAAAACCACAAAUAAAAAAAAAUAUGAUUGAUGCCGUUAACUCAAUAAGGUCGGGCUUUUGGGUAGAAACACGAAGACAAGACAUUCUUUUAUUUAGUAUGGCCGAUCUUCAUGAGUAUAUUUCCGACUCAAAUGAUGUUGAUUUAUGUACAAACUAUAUAGACUUCACAAUGGAAAUUAUGAAAAAAGAAAACUUAUCAUCAUCAUUGAGAAAAGAAGUGGAAUCAUUGCAAAUAAAAAAUAAUGGACACUUCUUCAUUUUUUCUGAAAUGUUGAAUAUAAAGCCAAUAAUAGAUAAAAUGAUAAUGAAUAAUCUUAAAAAUAAAGAAGUGACUUUUAACAACAAUACUGAAAUAGAACCUGAAAAAAACAUUUCAAGUGGACCAAUCAAUAGAUCACCAACAAAAAUUGGAUUAAACUGGUGGCUGUGUGUUGGUAUUAUAUUCUUUAUCAUUCAUGUUUAUGCUACAUAUUUGAUAUGUCGUAAGUGCCUUCCAUAUCAUGCAUUUAAUAAAAAGAAUAUUAUUAUUCAAGCGUAGUUAUUAUUAUUCAAAAAAAUAUUUAAAUGGAUAAUUAAUUUACAAAAACGAUUCGU